rnacentral:rRNA from 1 species
CCUACGGGGGGCAGCAGUGAGGAAUAUUGGUCAAUGGACGAGAGUCUGAACCAGCCAAGUAGCGUGAAGGAUGACUGCCCUAUGGGUUGUAAACUUCUUUUAUAAAGGAAUAAAACGAGGCACGUGUGCCUUUUUGCAUGUACUUUAUGAAUAAGGAUCGGCUAACUCCGUGCCAGCAGCCGCGGUAAUACGGAGGAUCCGGGCGUUAUCCGGAUUUAUUGGGUUUAAAGGGAGCGUAGAUGGGUUGUUAAGUCAGUUGUGAAAGUUUGCGGCUCAACCGUAAAAUUGCAAUUGAUACUGGCAGUCUUGAGUACAGUUGAGGUAGGCGGAAUUCGUGGUGUAGCGGUGAAAUGCUUAGAUAUCACGAAGAACCUCGAUUGCGAAGGCAGCUUACUAAACUGUGACUGACAUUGAUGCUCGAAAGUGUGGGUAGCAAACAGGAUUAGAUACCCUUGUAGUC